GGGCGUCUCGGCCUCCGCCCCUCGGAACGAGCUCGGAGAGGCGGGACGCGGCGAGAGGGGCGGAGCAGGGACUGCGCUCCACCUCCGCCCGGCUUCCCGCCAGUAUCCCGCGGGGGAACCGGUUUCUGCCAGUCCAAGCCUCCAGUAUUGACUGAUUUCUUUGCCUGGAUACUGAUGCUUCCCAGGGCGGGACUUAGGUAGCCGUGGUGAAUACCUUUCCCCCACACCCCCAAUCUGUCCCCGCUCCGCGUCCUCUCUCUGGUACUUGGGCUGCAGACCCUCCGGAUUCCUCGCAUGCUUUGCGGGGCCUCCACCCACCAGGCUCUGUACCCAGGCAGGCUUUUCUGACCCAAAACUGAGGAACCUCUUGCUGUGCCUGUAUCUUGUAAUGGAAGACCUUGAACCCGAGUGGGGCAUUGGGAAUCAAUAACGGUGAUACUAAUGAUCUCCAGUUUUAUGGCUUGGCCUAGGACUUUGGCUCUCUUGUGAAUUCUGCCCGAGAUCUCAUCCUCACUCAACAGUGAGAUUUCAGAGUCUGGAGAGACCACAGCAGGGCUGUGACCUGCUGCAGAAGGAGGUGACGUGUAUAUGGGAGGAAGUGAGGACCCAAUAGUCAACAAAAAUUGGUGAGCUUGACGUGCCAGGUGCUGGACUAGAAUCACGAUCUUGCACGUGUGUUCAUGAUGCUUCUCCAUCAUGGAAUUUCAUGCUUCUAAGGAUUGGUGAGAAUUUAUGAUCCCUGCUCAUAGACCGAAAGAAACUUACAAGACAUACCAACAUUAUAUGGACUCUCUUUGGAGCUUGAUUUAAACAAACUAAAGUUAAUUUUUUUUUCCAAAUAACCCAGAAAAUUGAACCCAGGAAUUAUUGUCUGUGUUGUUGGGUAUAAAUGAAUGUGUUUAUAGUUAAAGGGUUCCUUUGAUGAGGGGUAAGAUACUUGAUCGGAGAAGGCAGUGGCAACCCACUCCAGUACUCUUGCCUGGAAAAUCCCAUGGACGGAGGGGCCUGGUAGGCUGCAGUCCAU